GGGCCUGGCGUAGUGCGGACUCUGCCUCUCAAGCAAGAGUUCAGGGGUGCAAUUCCCCUCAGGUCCA
rnacentral:tRNA from 1 species